rnacentral:rRNA from 1 species
CAUUGUGCUUGCACAGAUGACGACCGGCGCACGGGUGCGUAACGCGUAUAGAACCUACCUUUUACAGAGGAAUAGCCUUUAGAAAUGAAGAUUAAUGCCUCAUGGUAUUGUAGACUGGCAUCAGUUUAUAAUUAAAGAUUUAUCGGUAAAAGAUGGCUAUGCGUCCUAUUAGUUAGUUGGUAAGGUAACGGCUUACCAAGACAGCGAUAGGUAGGGGUCCUGAGAGGGAGAUCCCCCACACUGGUACUGAGACACGGACCAGACUCCUACGGGAGGCAGCAGUGAGGAAUAUUGGACAAUGGAGGAGACUCUGAUCCAGCCAUGCCGCGUGUAGGAAGAAUGCCCUAUGGGUUGUAAACUACUUUUAUACAGGAAGAAACACUGGUAUGUAUACCAGCUUGACGGUACUGUAAGAAUAAGGACCGGCUAACUCCGUGCCAGCAGCCGCGGUAAUACGGAGGGUCCGAGCGUUAUCCGGAAUCAUUGGGUUUAAAGGGUCCGCAGGCGGUCGAUUAAGUCAGAGGUGAAACCCCAUA